rnacentral:rRNA from 1 species
UAGUCCACGCCGUAAACGAUGGUUACUAGCUGUUCGGUUUUCGGACUGAGUGGCUAAGCGAAAGUGAUAAGUAACCCACCUGGGGAGUACGUUCGCAAGAAUGAAACUCAAAGGAAUUGACGGGGGCCCGCACAAGCGGUGGAGCAUGUGGUUUAAUUCGAUGAUACGCGAGGAACCUUACCAGGGCUUAAAUGUAGUGGGACAGGUGUGGAAACACGCCCUUCUUCGGACUCAUUACAAGGUGCUGCAUGGUUGUCGUCAGCUCGUGCCGUGAGGUGUCAGGUUAAGUCCUAUAACGAGCGCAACCCCUGUUGUUAGUUGCCAGCGAGUCAUGUCGGGAACUCUAACAAGACUGCCAGUGCAAACUGUGAGGAAGGUGGGGAUGACGUCAAAUCAUCACGGCCCUUACGUCCUGGGCUACACACGUGUUACAAUGGUUGGUACAGAGGGCAGCUACCUAGUGAUAGGAUGCAAAUCUCGAAAGCCAAUCUCAGUUCGGAUUGGAGUCUGCAA